rnacentral:rRNA from 1 species
GACAGAGGGUGCGAACGUUGUUCGGAAUUACUGGGCGUAAAGCGCGUGUAGGCGGUCCGGUAAGUCCGCUGUGAAAGUCGAGGGCUCAACCCUCGAAUGCCGGUGGAUGACUGUCGGGCUUGAGUACGGGAGAGGCGAGUGGAAUUCCUGGUGUAGCGGUGAAAUGCGCAGAUAUCAGGAGGAACACCGAUUGCGAAGGCAGCUCGCUGGAACGUUACUGACGCUGAGACGCGAAAGCGUGGGGAGCAAACAGG